AAAAAUGGCCCAAAUACAAAAAAAAAAAAAAACCUAAGACCCACAACCUAAACUUUUUCAGAAAACUAAAAAAACCCGAGUUCUUUCGCGCCGCACCCCACCACGUCGGUGUGCUCACUGCCCGAGGCAUGACGCGCCCCCUGUCACCAUUACACCAAAAUAGUAAGGCAUGACUCCCAUCAUCAUCGUUGACCGCCAUGGGUACUUGCAAAGAGAAAACAAAAGAGGACAGUGAGCAAAAAUAGUGGAAAUGGCAGAAACAGUAGAAACAACAAACAAAAAAAAAAUAGUAUGUAAUAUAUGGCUAUAAAAGCCAUAACAACAGAUUGUAUUCACACACACAAAGCAAUUGAAUAGAAUACAAAAAAGAAGAACAACAAGUUUAACAAAACAAAAGGUAGUUAUUUUUUUUAUUUCGAAAUAUAAAAAAAAACAAAAGGCUAGAUUUUUUACCUAUUUUGUUGCACCACCGCCGUGGGUGGUCCCCGUCGACUUGUAAGGCUGCCAAAUCCCUAGGGAUUUGUCUAAGUUGUAAGGUUGCCAAAUCCCUAGGGAUUUGUUUAAGGCCACGUCGAAAAGGGAGAGAAAACAAAUUAUUAUUUUUUAUUUUUUGUUGAGUUCGAUUGGGUUUUUAGGGAUUUCAGUCUCAAAUUUGUGUUUUACAUACAAAGGGCUUCAAAAGGGGAAGUUUUGGGGAACUUCAGCCACCGGAGGCAGUGGUCUCUGUUGCCGUUGACCAGCGGCCCCGGCGGAGACCCACCGUCCCCUGGCCGAUUGGAAAAGGGUUGUUUGAGAGAAAGAAAAGGGUUAGAAAGGGAUUUUUUUAAAAAAAACAAGGGUAAAAUGAUUUUUUUUAUUUUUUUACUUAUAUAGGGUUAUAAUACGACGCUGUUUUGGGUUUAACCUUCAAACGCCCAAAACGACGUCGUUUUGGCGCGACCCAAGACCUGACCUGAAUAUUAGCAAGAUCCGCGUGUUUUCGCGACAAGGCCUAAUUACAGCCUUAGUCCUUUCGCUUUUUAAACGCUUUUCAAUAUAGUCUUAUUUCUGUCUUUUUUUCUUUUUAAAAUUUAUACCGUUUAAUUCUGAUUUUUUAUUUAUUUUGGUCCCUCUGGAAAACGUGCGCAUUAUGAGGUUGGGAAUAUUUUUCCAAUCGGCCCCUUUUUUUUGUGUGUUAUAUUUUAGUCCUUUAUUUUGCUUUACUCAUUUAUUUAUUUUAUAUAAUUCAUUAGUUAAAUUUCAAUUUAAUCACCCAUUUAUUUAAUCUCACAUCUUUAAUUGCCUUUUGUAAGGCCCAAAUUUUGCUCGGGGCCUAAUAAAACCAAACCUAAUUUCAACCUUAGGCAGAGCCCAAAUAAAAAAAAAUUCCAAAAAAAAUAAUAAAACAGUCCAAUUAAUAAUACAUGGCCCAAAUUAAAACCCCCAUCGGCCCACAACCUAAACUAACCCUACCAGUCCACUAUCUCAAAAAUUUUCAGCAGACUACAAACUCAACCCCCACGUCAGCACUCCAGACAGGAUCCCCGUAUACCCCGCUCCAUGUUUUCGCCCAUGUUUCACGCCCCUCAUUCUCCACAACUUCAACACCUGCAAUUUGAGCAAAGAAAUAGGUAGAAAAUGUAUGGUUUUUGGCUAUAAAGGCUUCAAUUUUUCAUAGUAAAAGGGGGAUCCAAAAAUUGUAUCACUCGCGUAUUUUUCAAGGAAUCAAACAAAAAACACACAGAAGGUUGAUCUCCGAUUUUGUUCUCUUUAUUUUCGUUUUUCGUUUUCUUGCUUUUUUAAUAUUUCUUUUAUUUUUUAUACAAAUCUAUUAAACAAAGAUACAAAAAAUAAAAAAAAAUAAAAGGAAAGAGGAAGGAUUCUUACCAGAUCUGGCCCCGUCGCCGCGUUAUCGGAGCCUUCCCCUCCGUUCGACGUGGUUGAGUCUAAAAAGGGGGUUGAACCCUUGUCUUUUCGUUUUUGGAACUAGCCUCCAACAAGUAAAAAAGGGGAGAGCUAAAGGAGCCUAUUUUGGUGUAUCGCCGGCCACCGAGUGCGGUGGUGGCGCGGCGGUUGAAAGGCGGCAAUGAUGGGUUUCUUUGAAACCCUAGCAGAAAAUAAAAGAGAAGGGAAAGGGGGAGAGAGCAGGGAAACUCUCUGUUCUUUUUGUUUAAAGUUGGGGGAAGGCUGGUAAUGGAAUAAUAAAAUAAAAAAUAAAAAAAUGGAAAGUUGGUAAUGGAAUAAAAAAGGGAAAG
rnacentral:lncRNA from 1 species